GUCCACGCCCUAAACGUUGAUUACUCGUUGUUGGCGAUAUACAGUCAGCGACCAAGCUAAAGCGUUAAGUAAUCCACCUGGGAAGUACGACCGCAAGGUUGAAACUCAAAGGAAUUGACGGGGCCCGCACAAGCGGAGGAGCAUGUGGUUUAAUUCGAUGAUACGCGAGGAACCUUACCUGGGCUUGAAAGUUAGUGACUUUCUGUGAAAAGCAGAAUUCUCUUCGGAGCACGAAACUAGGUGCUGCAUGGCUGUCGU
rnacentral:rRNA from 1 species